CCUACGGGUGGCAGCAGUGGGGAAUAUUGGACAAUGGGCGAAAGCCUGAUCCAGCCAUGCCGCGUGUGUGAAGAAGGCCUUCGGGUUGUAAAGCACUUUCAGUGGGGAAGAAAGCCUUGGGGCUAAUACCCUCGAGGAAGGACAUCACCCACAGAAGAAGCACCGGCUAACUCCGUGCCAGCAGCCGCGGUAAUACGGAGGGUGCGAGCGUUAAUCGGAAUUACUGGGCGUAAAGCGCGCGUAGGCGGUCUGAUAAGCCGGUUGUGAAAGCCCCGGGCUCAACCUGGGAACGGCAUCCGGAACUGUCAGGCUAGAGUGCAGGAGAGGAAGGUAGAAUUCCCGGUGUAGCGGUGAAAUGCGUAGAGAUCGGGAGGAAUACCAGUGGCGAAGGCGGCCUUCUGGACUGACACUGACGCUGAGGUGCGAAAGCGUGGGUAUCAAACAGGAUUAGAUACCCUGGUAGUC
rnacentral:rRNA from 1 species